rnacentral:tRNA from 1 species
GGAGAGGUGGGUGAGUGGCUGAAACCAACGGUUUGCUAAACCGUCGUAGGGGUAAACUCUACCGCGGGUUCGAAUCCCGCCCUCUCCG